GAUGAACGCUGACAGAAUGCUUAACACAUGCAAAGUCAACUUGAAUUCGGUUUGGGUGGCGGACGGGUGAGUAACGCGUAAAGAACUUGCCUCACAGAUAGGGACAACAUUUGGAAACGAAUGCUAAUACCUGAUAUUAUGAUUUUGGGGCAUCCUAGGAUUAUGAAAGCUAUAUGCGCUGUGAGAGAGCUUUGCGUCCCAUUAGCUAGUUGGAGAGGUAACGGCUCACCAAGGCGAUGAUGGGUAGCCGGCCUGAGAGGGUGAUCGGCCACAAGGGGACUGAGACACGGCCCUUACUCCUACGGGAGGCAGCAGUGGGGAAUAUUGGACAAUGGACCAAGAGUCUGAUCCAGCAAUUCUGUGUGCACGAUGAAGUUUUUCGGAAUGUAAAGUGCUUUCAGUUGGGAAGAAAAAAAUGACGGUACCAACAGAAGAAGUGACGGCUAAAUACGUGCCAGCAGCCGCGGUAAUACGUAUGUCACAAGCGUUAUCCGGAUUUAUUGGGCGUAAAGCGCGUCUAGGUGGUUAUAUAAGUCUGAUGUGAAAAUGCAGGGCUCAACUCUGUAUUGCGUUGGAAACUGUGUAACUAGAGUACUGGAGAGGUAAGCGGAACUACAAGUGUAGAGGUGAAAUUCGUAGAUAUUUGUAGGAAUGCCGAUGGGGAAGCCAGCUUACUGGACAGAUACUGACGCUGAAGCGCGAAAGCGUGGGUAGCAAACAGG
rnacentral:rRNA from 1 species